rnacentral:lncRNA from 1 species
GACAUGCUAUUUUUUCCAUUCGUUCCUUUUCAGGAUCUUUUUUAUAACAGCAAUGGAUUGACAUCAUAUAAGUCUUUUCAUUGAGUAACAAUAAUUUUCCCAAUUAUAUAAACAUCAAACAUUCUUCUAUCUCGACUCUUCAAUGAGAAAGGCCAGGUGGUGGCGGAGAAUAAGGUGGGAUCUUACACUUAUAUAAACAAAAUGUAUCACACAAAUCAAAAAAGUUUGUCUUGCCCUUAUUGCAGAUUCCAUAGCAUGGAUCGUAGCAGGCGUGACAUUUGCUUCCACAGGUAAUGAUACAAUAAACGUUAAUUCCAUCUCUGCUAUGUUUACACUUAUUACAGCAUGGAUCGAAGCAGUAGUCGAUAAAUUUUGCCUCUACAAAGACGAACAUCAAUACCAUAAUAACCACACAACGCCAGGCCUUCAUGUUUGUAUCCAUCUUGG